GUGUUACUGCCUUUGUACUGCUCUGUGUAGCUGGUGUUAGAGGGAGAAUGGAAAGUGGAACAGAAGUGUGCACGUUUCCUCUCCACUGGCACUGCAGUAUCAUUACAUGCAAUGACUGCUGCUCAGGUGUGCACUGUCUUUAGCAGAAAGGGGCAAGCAAGCUCUGCCUCUAUUCUGAGCCACCCAAAAGCUAUGUAACUGUGUUAGCACAGAGUUGCACCCAAGCUCAUUUAUCCUGUCUCUCAGCAGGAUUUAAAGCCCAGGCUUUGCAUUAUCAAGAAAUUCAUGACUUUUGUCUCAGAGCAUUGGCAAAAGCUCAUGUUUGUCUGCAAAAUACCAUGUAAAUAACCCUUUAGAAUUAGUAGCUGCAAGUGCAGUCAGUGAUCUGUGUUAUCAGGUAAAACUCUUGCUUACUUGUAACGGUAAGCUUAUUUUUUGAAAACUGGGACCUGUUCUGUGGUGAUUAAAAAUAUCUAACUUCCUCAGAGAAAAAUGUUGGUACUCAGUUAUAAAAGUCUUGCUUGAAUACAUUUUAUGCGAUCUGUUCUUUAAUUUGCUUUCUUUUUAUAAACUGUCUAUAACCUGGUAUGUCCUCAAUUUGUCUGAAAGAUCUCUUUGAGUCCAAAGUGGCAGAAACUCCAAUCCAGCAUUUCCAGAGGAGCCCUUCCGUGACAUCUAGCGCUUUGGGUCCUUUCAGGCGCCAAAGUUUCUUUGACCAAGUAGAUCGAUCACUAAAGACAGACAGCCUGACCAUCAAAUCAGCUCUACGUGUGCAGAGACCACACAGUACCUCCAAUGUGCAGGCUAAGAGAUUCACAAAUCUUCUACAUCUUGUAAAAGAAAAGGCCAUUACAGAUUUGCUCAGGAGCAGAAUACAGUCACGGCAGGAAACGUGGGAACAAGAAUCACAGGAGCAGGACAGGCAGCAAAAGCAGCACCAGGCUGCCAAAAGGAGAGUGUUCCAGAACAGAGACCGUUCCCAUCAGAAGAUGGAAGAGAAAGGCCAGAAACACUGUGACCUCCAGCAGUACCUCAGAGACCAGAAUCUUUUGAUGCUCCGGACCUCACUACUAGAGUGAAGAAGCUGCAGUGUGGACUUGCUAGCUGAACUUCUUUUUAAAGACUUUUAGACAAGUAAACCUGCUUUCUUCACCAGGCUGCAGUGAUCUUGUGCACCUAAAGUAUCUGAUACCAUCAGUUAAAAAACUACCAGAGUAUAUUAUCUCAUAGAACCAUGCAAUCAUAAGGGAGGCAGAACUCUCCAUCUCUGCAAAAUCUUCCUGGCUUCUGAAAUAGACCUUCCUCAUAUAAGUAAAGGCUGAGAGAGCUAGGACUGCUCCACCUGGAGAAAAGACGACUGAGAGGGGAUCUUAACAAUGCAUUUAAGUAUCUAAAGGGAGGGUGUAAAGAGAAUGGGGCCAGACUCUUUUCACUGGUGCCCAGUGACAGCAUAAGAGGCAACAGGCACAAACUGAAACAGGAAGUUCCAUCUGAAUAUGAGGAAAAACUUUUUUGCUGAGAGGGUGGUCAAAACCUGGAACAGGUAGCCCAGAGAGAUUGUGGAGUCUCCAUCCUUGCAGACAUUCAUAAGCCGUCUAGAUAGGGUCCUGGGCAACCUGCUCUAGGUUGAGCAGGGGGGUUGGACUAGAUGUUCUUUAAAAGGUCCCUUCCACCCUCAACCGUUCUGUGUGCAAUUCUGUGAUCACCCUGUUUGCUGCUUGGAUGAUAUGACUGAAAGCAACAUUAAUGUGGAAUAUCCAAUGCAUGGCAUUUUGAGAGGCAUGUGACUGUUCUCACCUUCAGCUUCUUUCUCCAUCAGCUCACAGAGAGCAAAGGUAACCCUGCACAGUGAG
rnacentral:lncRNA from 1 species